rnacentral:sRNA from 1 species
UGAAAUUGUCUACGCCGUGGAAAAACUCCCGGAGGGAAACAACAGCUAUUCCGUGGAUGCCACCGAGGUCACUGACCUGCAUGUCAUCAGUUACGAAGUGGAGCGGGACCUGACUCCACUGAUUCUCUCCAACUGCCAGUACCAGGUGGAGCAGGGCAGAGAGACCCUGCAGGAGUUCGAUCUGGAGAAGAUUCAGCAGCAGAUCGUCAGCCGCUUCAUCCAGGGCAAGCCCCGGCUGAGCCUCAAGGGAAUACCCACUCUGGUCUACAGACACGACCGGAACUAUGAACAUCUCUUUAUGGACAUCAAGAACAAAAUGGCGCAGGUGAUCCCGAUGAACCUGAUCCUGUGCACGGGGCUUUCUGCCUUCUCAGUUUUUUCCUCCAUGUUAGGCCUACUCCAGCCUUGCCCCAGGUGUUUGCUGUGAGCCACAGUUUCUGCGGCCUCCCUGAGGACCCCAGGGGGCUCCCUUGCAGAGGGCAAGCAAGACAGCAAAUCAGCAAGUUUUCUUGUAGAGUAAAAGGAGAUUGACAUCUCAUGGGUUCAAUUCUUAGGAAUGAUGUCAUGGCCAUGCCUGCUGAAGCGGAAAGUCCAUGGAACCGAUUUGUUCCUGCUCUCUGCAUGCGGGUAUUGAUAGGUAGACCUGUGUGUCUCCAUGGCCUCCAGGAACUGCCUGCACACAGUGCGCCCAAGUGUCAACUAUUAGAGAGUUGACCCCACAUGUGGCUUGGGCAGUGAAGGGGCUCAGCUCUCUUACCAGGUGGUGAGACACCAGAAACCCAGCCCAUAGACAUCCCUCUCCUGCUUUUCAUUUCCCAGGACUCCCUCCCCAGCUCGGUCAUUAGUGCCAUCAGUGGACAGCUGCAGUCCUACAGCGAUGCCUGUGAAGCGCUGUCUGUCGUAGAAGUCACUCUGGGGUUUCUGAGCACAGCUGGUGGGGAUCCAAACAUGCACCUGAAUGUGUAUACUCAAGACAUCCUGCAAAUGGGUGAUCAGACGACUCACGUGUUAAAGGCGUUAAACAGAUGCCAGUUAAAACACACCAUUGCCCUCUGGCAGUUCCUAUCUGCUCAUAAGUCUGAACAGCUGCUGCGGCUGCAGAAAGAGCCAUUUGGGGAAAUCAGUUCAAGGUACAAAGUGGAUCUGAGUUCGGAAAAUGCUAAGCUCCUCAGCACAUUCCUAAAUCAGAUUGGCCUAGACGCCUUCCUGCUAGAGCUGCACGAAAUGAUAAUCUUGAAACUAAAGAACCCCCAAACCGAGGGGAGCUUCAACCAUGAGUGGAGCCUGAGAGACACUCUCAUAAGUUACAUGGAAACUAAAGAAAGUGAAAUUCUUCCUGAAAUGGAAUCUCAGUUCCCAGAAGAGAUACUGCUCGCCAACUGUGUCUCAGUGUGGAAAACAGCUGCUGUGCUGAAACGGAAUCGACAAAUCAGAUAGAAUUAUUUCUUCAGCUAUCUUUGGAUGACUUUGGAGAGAAGACUCUCCUCGUCUGCGGCGUGGACUUCAUCACGUACUGGUGCCUUUGCAUUCAGAAGGAGAGCUGUCAGCAUAGCACCAAAUUCAAGACCAAAGCGUGCUACCUGAGCUGACAGCUUUUUCAAAGCUGAGCUGUUUCUGAACCAUGUAUAUACAUGUUCUGAAACUUUCUCAUCAUGAGUACUGUUCACUGGGAGAUAACAAUGAAGAUUAGAUGAAAUUGGAAAUAAACCAACAUUGUUUACAUUCCAGGAGUCAUAUAGCUCAGCCACACACGCAGUAAUGAUCUGUGCACGCUCGCCUCUGGCACUGCCCACCCCUCUUUUUUUUUUUUUUCUUCUAAUUCUGUACUCACAAAAGAGAAUCUCAUUUUCUUCUUUCUUCCAUUCCCUUAAAUUCUGAGUAUUGUACAUAUAUUUCUGGGUUCCCAAGAUGAUGUGAAAAACUACCAGACUGUUUUUUGUCUUCUCACAAAAACAAGAAAAAUCAGGGCAUUUUGUGAGUGCCUUAAGAUCAAACUAACAAGAUCUGACCCUCACCCUCACAAUGAGUCACUGCCCCACUUCAGAGGGUAAGAGCCAAAAGCCUCAUUGUGAAAAGCACUGGACUUGGACCAGAGACACCAUCAGGGCCUUGGUUUUCUCAUGCAUAAAAUGGAGAGUGGAUUAAUCGCCAAAGAUUCUUCCGAUCUGAUAUUUUGAAAUUAUAAGAGAAACGAGAUGACUGUAAACUUGGUCACAGGCCUGGUUCCGGCAGUUCUUUGCGGACUUUUUUCUAGCGUUAUGCCAAAUAAACAUGCAGUCUCAGUGUGCUCUAGCAUGUAUGAAUAUCUAGUCCUUUCUGUGGUUCUCAGCCAAGACAUAAAAACUAGGACUCAGAGUGCAUACAAAACCAGUUACGUUUCGGAAAGAGGGAAAAGAGUCCCCGAGCCCGAAUCUUGUGCUGCUUUUCUCACUGAAGUGUUGCCUUUUUUCUUUCCAAAAUCUGCUUUGAUACUUAGGACCUCUCUGGACUAACUUCUCUUCCUAGACAGCUCAGCACAGCUAUUGAUAUGUUAGAGGCAGUAUCCUUAAUAUUCAUUCUAAAUGAGUUAAUGACUUAACUUGAAAUUGGGCCUAAGGAGUGAGAGCUACAAAAAUACAAAAUGCUUAUCCAGGACUCAGCCAUGCACACCUUGAGCAGCGCUGGCAGGAGCCACGGAAGGAACUGUGCUCCGUUCUCCUCACUGUGAUGGUGCCGCCACAGCGUCUGACGAAGGGAGAGUGACCCAGACUGCAGGCAGUAACUGACUUCACACAGUCCCUGGCAUUUAGUCAUCUGUGAUUGUUUUAUCACUCUGGACUGUGCAGAGCCACCUGCCACCGAGAUCUGCAUUCCGACUGCCUAUGAACGGGUGUGGGGGCCGGGGGCCAGCUUGCUGAAGUCUUCAACUUGCACUCGGAGCUCCUUUGAUACCUCAGAGCUGGCCGUCAGGUGGCAGCUCACACCCAGACUCACUGGCCACACCUCAGCAGGACCCAGACUCACUGGCCACACCUCAGCAGGACCCAGACUCACUGGCCACACCUCAGCAGGGGGGAGUCGAGUGUCAGUCUCUUGCUGUGAAGGCUUUUUUUUUCCUUUGGCCUGGGAAUUUUUCCCAUUUUUAUGAAGAAGUUUUAAAUUGUUUCAUUUUGUGUGCUGUGCUUCAAAGCCUUAACUGUCAAAUCUUGCAUUAUCUUGUUUGUACAGAAAUAUACUGGCCUAGCAGAGGCAAAAAAAAAAAAAAGAAUUUUAUUUUACUUGUCAUACCUGUCUUAAUAAACUGGAGUUUUGCUGCUAAAGAACUCUUCUCUCUGGGGGCAGAGCUUCUAUUUAUGGCACAUAGACAUCAACUAGGCUUUUGGGAAUCGUUUGUGUUCUUUGUGGAAAUGUCCUUUAGAAGCACCCAUGAAGCAGUAUGUUCAGACUGUGCACACAGAAAACAUGCUCUGCCUUCAAAUGUGAGAUGGUAGACUUUUCCUCUGGACAAAAUGACAGCAGCCCGGCGACUCAAGCGACUCCACAGUGGAGUUGAGCGCCACUCCCUGUAGCCGAUCUGGGACUGAAACGCUUACACCUCUGCCUCAGAGAGGAGUCCCCCAUGCCCUGCCUGAAAUGACUUCACUGGAAACAGCAGGGCUGCAGCUAACAGGAGUACAGGUAGGAGCUAACUAACUUCACCCAUGAGUCCACUUGUGGAGUAAGAGAUAAACAGUAACCGUUCCAGGAGCCCACUAACAUUUGAGUGCUAAAAAUGCCCCUUUAGGGGGAAAACUGCAUUUUCUCUUCCAAAAAGGAAAGGUUCUUCCAGGCAAGAAACCUGUGGCCUGAAACCACAGCGAGAAGAAGAGGCAUGCUGGCCUGCACCGGAAGACUCACUUUGUCUGCCCUGAGCCAGCCUCACCUCACCCUGCAGUUCUUGUUUCUGCCAUGGAUGCUUCAUCACCAACCCUGACCUUCCCCCUCCCAACCCUUUAUUCAUCCUCACUCCCACUCAUACCCGCCUCCCUGGACAGUUCCCUGCUGCAGAGUUCUUUCUGCUUUCAGCCCUACCUUGGUGGUGAUUUACCUGAAAAUCUUCACUCAUUAUCUCCUUCUCUUCGAGACCUGACUGAAAAAAUUAGGUGUGCACACCUGUAAUCCCAGCUACUUGGGAGGCUGAGGUGUGAGGAUUGCUUGAGCCUGGGAGUUUGAGGCUGCAGUGAGCUAUGAUUGCACCACUGCACUCCAACCUGGGUGACAGAGUGAGACCCUGUCUCAAAAAAAAUAAAAUAACAUAA